UCCCUGGUGGUUCAAUGGCUAAGACUCUGUGCUCCCAAUGCAGGGCGUCCAGGUUCAAUCCCUGGUCAGGGAA
rfam:Ovis aries breed Texel chromosome 1, whole genome shotgun sequence.